ACAGAGACCCACUGAAUUUAAGCAUAUAAGUAGGUGGAGGAAAAGACACAAACCUAGACUCCAGAAGUAGUUGCGAAUGAAUGUGGAGCUGCUCAGCUUGAAAUCUGUUAGGCACCUGCCACUGACAUGAAACUUCUGAGUGUGUUGUCAAUGGAGGUGCUUGUGUUAGCCACUUUGGAAAGGGGGAUGCAGGUAUAUACAAGGGUUAGAAUCCAUCUUGUCACUUGCUUUGCCUCUGUGUAUUGCACAGGUGUUCCAGAAUCAUGCUCUUUGGAAGUGGAGUGAAAAGGGGGCGGUAGAUUUCAUCCAAAGGUGACCACAAUGCUGAGACCGACAGUGAAGAAGUACCAUGAGGGAAGUGUGAAAAGGACUUUGGAAAGAGAACUAAAAGAGCCUGCACUUGCUGAAUGGCAAGCACACAGGAUAGCAGCGCUUGGGAGUAUUGCUUGAUGUUGAGUAGGGAGUGUGCAAGCAUGUCUGUUAAGCAUCCGGAGCUUCCUUCCAUGCAUGCCAGCAGCAACAGGGGCAGUCUGUGACUGUGGGACUGCUUGAGUGU
rnacentral:rRNA from 1 species